rfam:Clunio marinus genome assembly, contig: CLTMA_superscaffold_46
GCGCUUGUGGUGUAAUGGUUAGCAUAGUUGCCUUCCAAGCAGUUGAUCCUGGUUCGAUUCCUGGCAAGCGCA